UAGAUAAUCCCUUUUAUUUUUCCUUUUCCUUCUUUGAACUGUGUCACUCCUGGCCUGCAUCUUCUUAUCUCCUGAGAUUAUUAAUUGCCUUCUCUUUCUGGAUGCCAAAAAUGAUAAUGUCAUGAUAAAAGAGCAGUAGCAGUGUGGAAGAAGGACAAAAUCACUUGCUUGGAACCAAAUAACUUCAUAACUUUUCACUGUCCUGUUAUGCAGAAUUCCAUUCCCUGGACCUGUCUUUACAGCAUCCAGUUUACAAGCAGACACAAAUCUUCCACAUGCCAGGUCUGAUAGACAGUAAACCUUCAGCUUCCCCUGCACUGGAAAAGUGUGAAAUUACAUCCACAGAUCUCAAGAAAAAGUUAACCAUCUGCAUUUGUUUUAUACACUGGACAGAUUAUGGAUUGCACUACCCAGGCAUUUUGGGCAUUAUGACAUUCUUUAUCUUAUGACGAGAAGUUGGAAUUGUCUUUUGAACCGUGCUCUUCUCAUGGUCUUUAUAAAUGUCUAAUAUUAAAGUCUGUUCCUCCAAGGUCACCAUGCCAUUUGCCCUUUCCCUGAGAGGACCCUCAGGUUCAUCUACACUUCCAGAUAACUGAGUGCGUUAGGAGUGGAACUGAACUAAGGCAGAAAUACGUGUUUGGUAUGAUAAUCCUACUAUAGUUUUUACAGACAAAGAGGCAUGUGUAACAAAUGACUCUCUUGCAGUUUUAAGUUUCAUUCACUGAAUUUGAACUUACAGUUCAACAUGUGCCCUCCUGCAAGUUGUAAUAAUGAGUUGUGUUGUGCCUGCAAAACAUACAGGUCAGGGAAUGAUCAGCAGUUGGGAACUCUUACUAAUAUAAAUUCAAAAUAGCUGCAGCUAGGCCAGAUCCUGAGAGAUGCAUUGUAACCAACUCCAGCCAAAUCCAGUGCUCAUAAAAUAUGUGAUCAAUCUUCUCAAGCUUUUUAAAAAAUACAGUCUGUGCCUCCCUCCCACACACAGUCUUUUUUUAAGUCUGUGUAUGUUGCUGUAAAC
rnacentral:lncRNA from 1 species